rnacentral:rRNA from 1 species
AGUGAACGCUGGCGGUAGGCCUAACACAUGCAAGUCGAACGGCAGCACAGUAAGAGCUUGCUCUUACGGGUGGCGAGUGGCGGACGGGUGAGGAAUACAUCGGAAUCUACUUUUUCGGGGGGGAUAACGUAGGGAAACUUACGCUAAUACCGCAUACGACCUACGGGUGAAAGCAGGGGAUCUUCGGACCUUGCGCGAUUGAAUGAGCCGAUGUCGGAUUAGCUAGUUGGCGGGGUAAAGGCCCACCAUGGCGACGAUCCGUAGCUGGUCUGAGAGGAUGAUCAGCCACACUGGAACUGAGACACGGUCCAGACUCCUACGGGAGGCAGCAGUGGGGAAUAUUGGACAAUGGGCGCAAGCCUGAUCCAGCCAUACCGCGUGGGUGAAGAAGGCCUUCGGGUUGUAAAGCCCUUUUGUUGGGAAAGAAAAGCAGCAGGUUAAUACCCCGCUGUUCUGACGGUACCCAAAGAAUAAGCACCGGCUAACUUCGUG